GUAGGAGGCGAGCGUUAUCCGGAAUCACUGGGCGUAAAGGGCGUGUAGGCGGUCCCUUAAGUUGGCAGUGAAAUCUCCCGGCUCAACUGGGAGGGGUCUGCCAAUACUGAGGGACUAGAGGGCAGUAGAGGAAGGUGGAAUUCCCGGUGUAGCGGUGAUAUGCGUAGAUAUCGGGAAGGAACACCAGUGGCGAAGGCGGCCUUCUGGGCUGUACCUGACGCUGAGGCGCGAAAGCGUGGGCAGCGAAGCGGAUUAGAUACCCGCGUAGUCCACGCCCUAAACGGUGGACACUAGGUAUGGGGGGUAUCGACCCCCUCCGUGCCGAAGCUAACGCUCUAAGUGUCCCGCCUGGGGACUACGGCCGCAAGGCUA
rnacentral:rRNA from 1 species